GCAGACACUUCCAUAUAACACUUAGCUGGGUAAAUUGCUUCUCGUUCUUCAGGGACUCCGCCGGAGAGGCUGCGAGGUGGUGGGAAGGCAGAGGCUGCUGAUCUUUUAAACAGCACCGCAGGGCUUGUGCUCACUGUCCUUUAGUAAAGAGCAUGGGGAUCUGAACCGCUGUUCUCUCAUCCAUCCGUGGCCUCGGUCUCCUUUCCACAAACAGCCAGCUGGCUGUCAAGUGUCAAGAGUCACUUGUUUGAUUUAGAUUCUUCCCAAAAUGAACUCCUUCAAAAUAACAGUUUGACAAGAAGCCCAAUGUGAUCACAAGAAUGAUGGAAACGGACAAAGAGGCUUAAGAAGCUCCUGGAAAGAGGAGGCAUUUUCUUAGUGGAGUCAAAGAAGAGCGGCCAAAACAAAUGCGAUUACACUCAGCCAGGAGCUGAGUCCUCCCUGGUGGAUGGCCAAGCACCCUUGGCCUUUCCCAGGUGAGCCCUGAGGGCCCAGUGGCUAAGGAGACCCUCCCGGCAGGCAGGACAGGUGGGUCUGCGACCUGGGACCUCAGACACAGCCCGUGCCCUUUCUGCUGAGGAUAGUGGUGUGACUGCCACCAUCUUCUUGGAUACAUGUGUUCUUCUCAUCAGAACUUCACCAGAUCUCAUGUACUGAUGACAGAGGACUCGCCAGGAUUUUGUUAAUCACGCGAGACUGUGGCUUUGUCGCUCACAGAAUGAUUUGAUUUGUAUCUACUGGCCAAUGUUUUCUCAUAGAAUCCUAAAAAUGUGAUAAAAAGCUAAGGAAAGAGAUCCUCGAAGGAGUAUUGUUAUUUCCUCCUCAUAUAUUUUCCAAUAUGGAUGAUAUUAACUCUCUCUUCUCAAGUCAAAGGGAAAUAAUGCGGUUUUUAAAGAUUUGGAGAUCAUCUGGCUGAUUCUUUCCGCCUUGUGCAUAAAUAAACCGAGCCUCCUAGAGGGACUUAGCUGUGAAGGGGCAGAGCUGACAACCGUUUCUCCUGCCCUCCGUCCUUGCUCCUUGCACAUGAGAUCAACCGGAUACUUAGUGGUGAGCUGGGGGUUUCACGGCACAGCGGCAAGCUUCUGAGUUGUCACUGAGCUGUGAAGUUUAGUAUGUGUGAGCAGAGCUGAUCAGAGCAGUAAAGGCAAACUUAAGAGCCAGACGAGGAGGAGGAGGCAGCUCCUGCUGACCAGCUCCAUUUUUUGUCAGCACAAGAAGAAACAAUUCCCCUGUUCCUCGGUUGCGCUGUUCUCUUCUCACUCCAUCUGAAGUCUCAGGGCUGGCUGGUUCUCCACAGACUCCGGGAACUGUGUCCGGACUCAUCCCCUACUCUGCACAUGGGUUGGAAUUCCACGUACACACGGAGCUCAAGAGCCCUUUGAAGAAACAACAGCAAGCUCGGGUUGGCUGUUUUUCUUACCAGGCGGGGCCUUCGAUCUAACCCUUUCGCUUUGUCUUUUCUUGGCUUUGUCAAUCAUUUAUAUUUACCCUGGAGUGAAAAAUAAAAUUCUUAGCAGAAGGACCAUGGUGAAUCAACCAGUUUUGUUCACUGUCCGCAGAGAACAGGAACGAAGACUGAGAAUUAAAGUUUUUCUGCUAGAUCUUUCUGCAUUCGUGGCUGAGGACUCAGCUUCCAUUCCCGGAGUGAGGUACGUGCUUGCCAUUUCUAAGGUCUCUUCCUACGCUAAGGCAAAUGGGCUGCUGUGGGAACCAUCACUCUGGAGGAUGAUGUCAGAGAAGCAGCAGCUGCACUUCCUAAGCAGGACAUUAGUGCCGAGCCCCAGAGCCUGUGGCCACUUCCAGUGUAGUUCAUCUGUGAUUUUUAAAGAUUGUGCAGUGGUUUACUCAUGUAAGACUUUUUAACCAUGUGGCCAUGAUGGACAGAUUUCUGAUUUUCUGGCUUUGAUCAAAGAAAGUGGGUGUGGACAAGCACCACUUCCAUCUGUGUGGACAGACUGACCACAUGUAGUCACUUGCCAGAGAGACUGAGGAGGUGCUUGCAGGUAGUGACAGCAGUAGCCUUAGGAUCUGCCCCUGCUGAGACCUCCUUAGGAGCAUCCUUAAGUGAAACUGCACGAGGGCUCCAGGAAAACAAUGGGCCUGGCUCUCCGUGGAGCAGCCUCAGGGCCUGGAAAAGAUGAAGACCGAGGAGCUCUGGGUUCUUGCAAAGACUGAUCCUUAAACCAUCUGAGUUUGAGGAGCUCACUUGCAUCCCAUACCAUGUCAAUCCCAUUGUACUGUGAGGACUUGAGGUUUCUCCCUUUCAUGUGAUUCUGUUCUCAAGAGGAGAAACAAACAAACAAACAAAAACAAACCAAAAAACAAGCACAUGAACAGCAAUGACUGAUCAGGGUCCCGGAAGCCAGUGGUGAGCAUCUCCUCCAUUCUCUUUGUCUCCGCCGGCUGGGCCGAGAAGAGUGGUGGAUGGUGAAGGGUCGGUUCCCUCUGCAGAGAGCGGCUGCCCAGGCUCCGGGUGGCUGGGCUUCUCCAGGCCUGCACAUGAUCUUCAGAUGCCCUGUGUAGGUUGGGCAGGUCUGGCAGAGCUUUCAGUGCAUGCUGUGUCACCAGGGAACGGUCCUAAUUGCCUGAGGCAGAUGCCGUCUAGGACUUUCAGGAGAGGGAGGAUCAUUUAUUCAGCUUGCUCUAGAAGUUUUCAAGCUGUCAUUAAAAACGAGGAAUAAAAGCAAGAUAGAAAAUGAGGCAGUUUCACGACUGCCUGAAGAGUAUCAGGAUGUUACACGGGCAACGAGGAUGACCAGAAACAAAACAACAGGCCCGGUUUCCAAGAGAAUCCAGGCAGAGCCUGGGGAGGUGCCUUCACCUGCCCCUCUUUCACUCGGUGGGGUGCUGAGAUGUCCCCCUGCCUUCGCUUGACCAUCACGAUGACAAACAACGUAAGCAGGGGGCAAUUCUUGUUUUAGUUUCAAAUCAUAUUUCAUUGUAAUCUCCAAAUAGCACAUAAAGGAUUGCAUUCAAAGAUAUUUGUCUCAUUUUAAUGAAAUGAAUACUAUUUUCAAAAUUUCCAUGGGAUUACUUUGAAAAUUACUUUGUCAAAGUUUUGUGUCUUUGGUUGGACUGUUACUGGCAUCAUCCCCCGAGUCUUGUGCCACAUAUUUUUCAUCGAGGAUCUCAUUUAACCUUCGAAGGCUGUGAAUCAGGCACCAGAUAACCAUCUCCAGGUGAGAGAUUUGGCUUGCCCGUGAUAGACUGGCGGAGCUGCGGGGAAAGUGAAGCUUUGGAACCCAAAGCUACACUUUUCUAGCUUGUUCUUCUCUAACUACAGUCUUAAAGUGUUGCUUUUAAGGGAAAAGUUUUGUAAACUCAGAAAUAUCAGUGAUCGUAUUUAACAUUAACCACAGGAACCAUGGGGUAGAGACCUUUUCUCCUGAACAAGAACUAACUUCCAGAUUCUUGUACACAACCAGGCUGCAUGAUCUUUCCAGAAGCCGGGGGCAGAGGAAUGCGUGGGAUAUUCAUUGAGCCUUGCAUGAUGGAAACAGCGUAAGAGGUGACACACGGGGUGUGAAGGGAAGGGAAUGAAUGAUGCCUGUGUGCGUGAGGGAAGUGGAGAUCCAAGGGCCUGUGAACCGCCCCGGGGACAGUCGUGCUGACAGAGGACAGAGACCCAGUCCUGGGCCCUGGGCAUUUCUUUCUUCUUUUUGGAAGGCAGCCAGAGGCCUCCGACAGCACUAGUUGAAUGUGGGGUGCAACAGCACACACAGCUGCUGUCUGUCUCGUGGGUCAACUGCAUCGUCUCAGGGCGGGAUCAUCGCCGCUCCUGCUGCUGCUCCCUGAUGCGCACUUCCGUGCCACACGGUCACCUGCGUGUGCAGCAGUUCAUCUGUCAUCCCUCUCACGCACCUGUCACCGCAGCAGCAGCUUGCACCAACAACACUGCCGUCCAUUACAAGCGGGCUCUUUCCUCUUUUUAUUGAUCAACUCUACUCUCACCUCCCUGUCACUCUGCCCUUUCUGCUUCUAAUGUUUGGCUCCACAAAUCACAGACUGGUGUCUGUGAAAAACAAGUCGUUUCCUAAAUGUCUCUCUGGAACCCCAAAGUGCUGUCUCAGCCAGCAGUUGGUGAUGAAUGAGGUUUCCUCCCCUUGCAGUUGUUAAUGUAUAUGUGGCCUUAAAAAAAAUGCUUCUGUUAUAGUUUCAGUGGUUUUGUGCAGCUUAUUAAAAAUUCUGUCCAGAAAGA